rnacentral:lncRNA from 1 species
AUGGGAGUCACGCUGGAAUUCCCACUCUCUCUCAUCCUCCAAAUCCAAUAUGGUGCCAAGUUCUGUCCAUUUCACCUCUGCAGCAUCUCUGGUCCAUUUCACCUCUGCAGCAUCUGGUCCAUUUCACCUCUGCAGCAUCUCUGGUCCAUUUCACCUCUGCAGCAUCUCUGGUCCAUUUCACCUCUGCAGCAUCUCUGGUCCAUUUCACCUCUGCAGCAUCUCUGGUCCAUUUCACCUCUGCAGCAUCUGGUCCAUUUCACCUCUGCAGCAUCUCUGGUCCAUUUCACCUCUACAGCAUCUGGUCCAUUUCACCUCUGCAGCAUUUCUGGUCCAUUUCACCUCUCCAACAGCUCUUUAAUACACUCCCUUUUCUCCUCUGACUGCCCCUAUGCUGAUGCAGAUACUCAUCACCUCACAUCUGGAUCCAUGCAAUAGUUGCUGGGGACCCUCAAGUCUCUCCCUACUAGGCUCCAUUCUCCAGUCAGUUACCAGAGUGAUUUUCCUAAAGUGGGGGUCUGACUGUCACCCCCUAUUUAAUAGACUUUAGUGGUUCCCCUUCACCCCCAGGAACAAAUACAAAAUGCUCUUUUGGCCUUCAAAGCCCUUCCUACUUUUCCAGUCUACUUAAACAUCCCCCCCAUACUCUUUGUUCCUGUGAUGCCAGCCUCCCAGCUGUUCCCCAAACAAGACUCUUCAUCUCUCAGCUCUGAGCAUUUUUCUGUCUGUGCUCCAUGUCUGGAAUGUUCUCCCUCCUCCACUCUGACCACUGAGCUCCCCAACUUUCUGGAAGUCCCAUCUAAAAUCCUUCCUUCUCCAGAAAGCUUGGCCCAACCCCUCUUAAUUCCAGUGCUUUCCCACCAUUCAUUCUGUCCUCUGUAGCUUGUUUGUAUGUCUCUCAGUGGCCUGGAAGCUCCUUGAGGGCAGGAACUGUCUUUUGCCUCCUCUUGUAUCCCUGGGGCUUGGCACACAGUAAGUACGUGGUUCACAAAAGUUGACUGAUUGAUUGUUAGGGAAAGCAAUGCAGGCCCAGGAACUGACUACUCUGAGGUCCGGGGAAGGAGCCAUGACAAUGCAGUGCUUCACUGCCAGUCAAACAUCUGUGGGAGUGGCAUCCCAGAAGGUGAAGAGAGGUCAGCAUAGGAAUCAGGGAACCAGGGCAAGAUCAAGCAGCACUGAUGUCUCCACCCGAGAGGGCACAGAGCCUGGCCCUGGCACAAACUCCCAACUUAGGAGCUAAAGCUGGACAGAUGAACCAGCCAAAGAAGACACAAAAGAAACCAAAUUCCUGGAAGAAAUGAAGCAAGAGAUUUCAAAUGAAAUCAAGUCCCUUAAGAAAAAGAGUUGGAAGGAGAAUAAAGAGCUUUGAGGAGGAAAUAACCA